rfam:Drosophila mojavensis strain TSC#15081-1352.22 Ctg01_11128, whole genome shotgun sequence.
UCAAAGGCCUUUUCAGGCCAUAAAUAUUAUAAUUUACGAGAUCU